rnacentral:rRNA from 1 species
ACAGUGGCUUAAUUUGACUCAACGCGGGAAAUCUUACCGGGUCCGGACACACUGAGGAUUGACAGACAGUAUUCAUGCCGACUGAAUUUCGACAUAUUUCAAAUGUGCGAGUUCUUUCAUGAUUGUGUGAUAGGUGGUGCAUGGCCGUUCUUAGUUCGUGGAGUGAUCUGUCUGCUUAAUUGCGUUUCAUAUUUACGAAUGUCGCUUACGUGAUUGCUGCAGACCUCGCGUCUCUUUAUUGAGUGCGACGCGUCUCUUCAACUCACUCGCACAUUCUCUUGAACGCAACGAGCGUGACCGCAACCUCUUGUUGUGUAUACCAAGUGUGUCGUUGCUUGCAACUCACACUCCAAUGCACGUAUUUUGGUCACAUUGUCUCGGU